AUGGAUGACUUGUGACUAGGAGUGAAAGGCUAAUCAAACCCGGAAAUAGCUGGUUCUCCCCGAAAUGCCUUUAGGGACAGCCUCAUACAAAAUUAUCGGAGGUAAAGCACUAGUUGGACUAGGGGGCGUCAAAGCCUACCAAACCCAGUUAAACUCUGAAUGCCGAUAAUCAACGUAUGGGAGUGAGACUGCGUGCGCUAAGGUUCGUAGUCAAAAGGGAAACAGCCCAGACCGUCAGCUAAGGUCCCCAAAUACUGCUUGAGUGUGAAAUGAAGUGUGGAUACAAAGACAGCCAGGAGGUUGGCUUAGAAGCAGCAAUUCCUUUAAAGAGUGCGUAACAGCCCACUGGUCGAGUCUCCAUGCGCAGAUAAUGUAACGGGGCUAAGCAGUAUACCGAAGCUACGGGUCUUAUGCAUUUUUGAGCAUAAGGCGGUAGGGGAGCAUUCCAUUAACUGAUGAAGGAAUACCCGCGAGGGAUUCUGGAGGAGAUGGAAGAAAGAAUGCAGGUAUAAGUAACGAAAAGGGAGGUGAGAUCCCUCCCCGCCGAAAAUCUAAGGUUUCCUGGGUAAAGGUAAU
rnacentral:rRNA from 1 species